GGGGAUUUAGCUCAGCGGCAUAAGCGCCUGCCUUGCAAGCAGGCAGUUGUGAGUUCCAUCCCCA
rnacentral:tRNA from 1 species